rnacentral:tRNA from 1 species
CAAUAGUUAGUUUAAUUAAAAUUUUAAUUUUGGAGAUUAAUGAUAAGUUUGAAUUGCUUACUAUUGA